rnacentral:lncRNA from 1 species
CUAGAGCUAUGAUACCAACUGUCACGAAACAAAAAUCCCACCGCAUGCCUCGUGAUGGCACUUAGUCUCUAUGACUAAGUAAGCCGAUUAUAAUCAUAAUUCAAGCCUUUUUAAAAAAAUAUAUAUAAUUUAAUACAACCUCUCAAGACUGGUAAUACUGAGUCACGAACUCUAAUUGAAUACAUUGAAUGAUCAUGAGGACCGAAUGUACAAUAAUGUUCGAAUAAGAAAUUAACAGUACAAUAGAAAUAGAAGGACUCCAAGGGGCUGCGACGACCAAGCAGCCUACCUUAAGUCCUUGAGAUCACCCUCUAACUUCGUCCGAGUCCGAUAUCUCCAAUACCUGGCUCUGCACAAAAAUGUACAGAAGUGUAGUAUGAGUACACCACGGUCGGUACCCAGUAAGUAUCAAGACUAACCUCAGUGGAGUAGUGACGAGGUACAGUCAAGACACUCACUAGUCAAAUAACUUGUGCAAUAUAGCAUACAAAAAUAAUAGAAAACAAAUAGCAGUGAUAGCAACACCAAUCAACUAGUGAUUUAAACUGCAAGGCAACAGGAACACCAUAAAUAUUGCUCAAAUGAAUAAUAAACACAAGUACAGCCAAUUAAUCAAGUCCUUCAAGAUAUACAUCUUUUGUCUAUAAGUUUUUCAAUAAAAGUCUCUAGAAUAUNNNNNNNNNNNNNNNNNNNNNNNNNNNNNNNNNNNNNNNNNNNNNNNNNNNNNNNNNNNNNNNNNNNNNNNNNNNNNNNNNNNNNNNNNNNNNNNNNNNNNNNNNNNNNNNNNNNNNNNNNNNNNNNNNNNNNNNNNNNNNNNNACCCUUCGUGCUUUACACUCUCAAAUGGCACGGCAUCACCCUUCGUGCUUUACACUCUCAAAUGGCACGGCAUCACCCUUCGUGCUUUACACUCUUCCUUACCAAGCACAUGUAUAUCAUUAACAAGCAAGGUAGGAAGCAUAAAUAACAUUCAAGGAGAGUGUUUAAUCCACAACACAAUACAACAAUUCAUAUCAUAAUUUUCCACUGGCCACAACCAAAUUCCAAAUAUGUAGCAUAAUCAAUAAAUAUCUCAACAAAUAGCCCAAGGCUCCACACAACGUAUAUAAAACCUCAGAACGAUCAACAGAGGUGAAAAAUACUUAGUAUAGGGCAACGCCUUCAUUAAUUCAAAUUCUUGAUAAUUAUAUUAACUUCUCAAUUUAAACUUAUUUUAUAAAUAUCUGCAGAUAAGGAUUCCAUCAUGAAUUUAAUUCCAAGAAAAUUAUCAAAUCAACAAACACACGGAAUUCACAUAAAAUCCAAGUAACAACAACACCAAAUUAUUAUAUAAAAUACAAACUCGACAAAUAAGGAAUGACGCGUGAUAAUUCAAGAAUUUACCAAAUGCCAACAAUUAUCCAAUCUAAUACAUAAAGAUGCCUAAAACCUUAAACCAAUAAAAUUUGCACAUAUAAACCCGAGUCCGUACUCGUCACCUCAUGUACACGGCUUCCAAUCACAUAAUUUUCACAUAAGACUCAAUGUCUAAAGGGUAAUUCCCCCACUCAAGGUUAGGCAAGAUACUUACCUUUUUGAAGUUAUGCCGAUAUUCCAAAAUCGCCUUCUUGCUUGAAUUGACCUCCGGACAGCUCAAAUCUAUCCAAAUUAAUUGUACAACUUCAUUAAAAUUCAUCCAAAAUAAUUUCGGAUAAUAAAACACCAACUUAAAAUUUUAUUCUAAAAAGUCAGCGCGGGUCCCGCCCCUUGGAACCCGACAAAAGUUUUACGAAAUUCGAACACCCAUUCCGAUACGAGUUCAACCAUACCAAAAUUAUCAAAUUCCGAUAACGGAUCGCCCUUCAAAUCUUAAAUUAAAGUCUAGAGAAUUUCUACCAUUUUCAACCCAAUUCACUAAUUUAGUAAUAAAAACAAUAAUAGAUUUAUGUAAUUUAACCAAAAUCAAGUUAGGAAUUCUUACUCCAAUAUUUUCCUUGAAAAACUCUCGAAAAAUCGCCUCACCCGAGCUUUCUUGGUCCAAAAAUGGAAGAAUGAGACGAAUUUGGACUUUAUUCUGCUGCCCAGGGGUUUGUUCUUCGCGUUCGCGACCCUCCCCUCUCGUUUGCGAUGAACAAAUUCUCCAACAACCAUUUUCAAACGUUUCUCAGACAGACUCUAGCAUAAUGGUCAUAACGUUUUGUACAAAACUCUAAAUGAUGAAUGGUUUAACUUUUUGAAAACUAGACUCCAAUGGCUAUAACUUUUAUUUGUUGAUCAUCUCCCAAUUCCUUAUAUAUUGCGAGAUAUAAGCUUCCAAAGUCAGCCCUGUGCAACAGAGAUUUUCAAACUCUUCCCAGACAACCUUUAGUGUAUCCACCAUAACUUUUUGUACACAAUUCCAAAUGAUAAAUGGUUUGCCUUUCUGAAAACUAGACACAAAGGUCUACAACUUUCAUUUUUGGAUCAUCUCUAAAUUCCUUAUAAAUUGCGAGAUAUGAGCCUCCAAAGUCAGACGACGGGCAGCAAAAAUUCCUUCUUCGCGAGCUCGAAGAACAAAGUCCCAACAGCAAAAUCCUUCUUUGCCAACGCGAGAGGCUCCUCGCGAACACGAAGAUCAAUACCAGAACCAGCAACCAGCAGCAUCAAAACACCCAAACUUGAUCUGGAACCACCCCGAAUCAAACCCGAGGCCCCCGGGACCCCGUCUAAUCGUACCAACCAAUCCCAAUACAUAACACAAACCUGCUCGAGGCCUCAAAUCACAUCAAACAACAUCAAAACCACGAAUCGCACCCCAAUUCAAGUUUAAUGAAACUAAGAAAUUUUAACUUCUACAUUCGACGCCGAAACCUAACAAAUCAAGUCCGAUUGACCUCAAAUUUUGCACACAAGUCAUAAAUGACAUAACGGACCUAUAAAAAUUUUCAUAAUUGGAUUCCGACCCCGAUAUCAAAAAGUCAACUCCCCGGUCAAACUUUCAACUUAAACUUCAUAUUUUCGCCAUUUCAAGCCUAAUUUAACUACGAGCUUCCAAAUAAUUUUUCGGACACACUCCUAAGUCCAAAAUCACCAUACGAAGCUAUUGGAAUAAUCAAAAUUCUAUUCCGGGGCCGUUUACUCAAAAGUCCAACUCUGGUCAACUCUUUUCAUUUAAGCUUCAAAAAUGAGAAUUGUUCUUUCAAUUUAACCCUGAAUCUUCCGAAAAUCAAACUCGACCACACCCGCGGAUCAUAAUACAUAUUACGAAGCUGCUCGAGACCUUAAGUCACUGAACGAGGCGUUAAUUCUUAAAAUGACAAGUCGGGUUGUUAUAAUUUUAUACCACAUAUAAAUUAUAUAUAUAUCAUAAUAUAUGUAAAUAAACAAAAUAUACCAUACAUAAUCUUUAAAGUUGUGUAUUUUAUACUUUAUAUAUACACUAUUAUAUAAUUUAUCACAUAUACAAUUGUAAUAGAAAAUAUAUAAGAACCACCAAUCGAAGUUAUAAUAUGUUAUUAUCCAAAUUUAAACUCCAAAGAAGGAAACGAAAAGAAGAAUUUUGCAUAUACAAAAAGAAAAUAAGAAGAAAGGCAUUAGAAAAGGGAAGACAAAAAAGAAUGGAAGGAUUGCAUCAGUUAUAGAAGAUAAAAAAUCUGAGCGAAAAAAUAGGAACAAUUGCUAUAAUUUUGCAAUGGGGUUGAUUCUUGUCCGGCUGAAUUUUAGGAACAUUUAUUUGAAAGGUGUUAUGAUAUGUUAAUAUUUAGGUGCCGUAAAUGUAAUUAACUAAUGUUGCUAUCGUUUUGCAAAUUUUCUGUAAAUAUUGCCUAGUUAUGUUUUUUUUUAUAUACGCACACAUAAACCUUUGGUUGUAUAUCGCAGAAUAAUGUUAAAACUUACUAAAUUCUCCUAUUUACCAACGUGAAGUAUCAUAUGCCUCAACACAUUGAAAUGUUCACAUCAGAAUAUAUGUUUCAUGAACUACCUGUAUAAAAUCAUUUUACUCAAUGUUGUUUGCAUGACUCUCAAAUGUAUAAACCUACAUGUAAAUGUAGAUGGGGCUUGUAGGUGACCUAAUUUUUAAAUACUUUUUAAUUAUUAGUAUAAAUUACUUGCUCUUUGUGUUACUCUUAUUAAUAAUAUACGUGUAUAAUGAGUUCACAAGUUUAUAUUUAAGUCUUGUUUUUCUUCAUAAAAAAAAGGCAUAAAUAGCCUAAAAGUCAACUUUAUGGCCAAUUAUAAAUGUUCUUUUAUUUAUAUGACAAUUUUCACAGAAGAUCGAUAUAAUAUAACACAGAAAAUCGAUAAGUAAAAUACUCCAUAGAACAUCUUUGUAGGUCUUUUUCUUAUGUUCAAACUGUAAUUGGCUAUAGGAGGUCAUUUUGUAGAAAACUGAGGUACAAAACGACAAUAAUUUCGGUAUAGAAAGUAGAAAAUUUUACAUGGUAUAAUUAAAUUAUACAUUAUAUUUAUCAUAAAUAAAUACACUUUAAACUAAUUAUAAUACAUAACUGCAUAUUGGGUUUUAUAGCAAAUAUCCUCUCUAAGUGAUUUCUAACCCUAAAAUAACUUUUUCCUCUCUUCCUCUUUUAUCUUCGUACUAUAGCCUAACCGCCUCCCCCAUCUCCCUUAAACUCUCUCUAUCUCUCUUGUGUUACAAUCUCGGUGGAGAACCACCGCCAGCCUAACCCGUCUGAACACUGUCAUCCGACCUCAUAUUUAUUUAUUUUCUCCUUUGUACUCUCUCUUCUCUCACCCGCUAUGAAAAUUCCUCAAUUUAGUACCUCAAAUUCCUCAAUUCAGAUCGGCCUCGUCAAUUCAGAUCGGCCUCGUCAUUACCUCCACCGCUGCCUUCAUCUCUGGUUGGAAUCUAUGGCCAACCGGUCGGAUUUCUCAUAUCCGAGUGCAUUGCCUUAGAAAUGCAUUUGUUUUCACCUUCUCUUCUGCUAGUCCAAAUGUUGCAUUCAUUAUCACGUACAUAUUCUAUUUGUCUAAAGAGAAAACAAACUUUUUUUUUAGAAUAACACCCAAAUAUUUUACUCAAAUAAUGCAAUAUGCUUUACCUAUAUUUAACAUUCCAGAAAAAGUAUAUUAGCCCUCCAUCAUAUAAUAGUAUCUCAGGUGUAACACUCCUCAAAUCUAUAGAAAUUUCAACACUCGCUAAAUAUAGAAUUAAUUUUUUUUUAAUCUUAAAUUAUACUUCUAUUACAGAUUUAAACCCUUGUUAUUGAUUUUUGAGUUACUUCUUUAUUUAUAAAGAAUUGGAUAUAUAUUUAGGGGAAUAUUAAUAAUUUUAAUAUUAGUAAUUUUUAAAAGUGAGUAUCAUUAAUUAUUAGUUAAGGCAAAAUAAAACAAAACAAAAAGAGAAAAAUAAUAAUAAAAAAAAAGGGCUUAAAGCCUUGGAAUGGUAAGAAACGUAUUUGUUUUAAAAAGGGCAAAAGGCUUGAAAGCAAAAGUCUGAAGGCCGAAAAGCCUUAUAGGAAGCCUUAUAGGAACAAGACAGAAGGCUUAAACUCACGUAAGCCUCAAGCCUCAUGCGGAAAAGAGAAACAGAACGAGAAACAUUGGCAGCAAGACUAUUUACGCAAACAAAAAUUCUAAGUUUUUUUACAAAUCACUAAUUCUUAAACUCAGGUAUAUAAAAUUCCCUAUUGUCAAUUAUCCUAAAGUAGUAGUACGUAAGAAUUGAAUAGUUAAUUCCCUUCUUCUUUUGUAUCAAGAGUAAGUUCCAUGUUUAGGUGUGAAACUUUGAAAUUAAUUCAAAUACAAUGGUUGGCUCAAGGAGUUUUGAGGUGAGUUGAUAUAACCCUUUACUAAAGUGGUUUAACUCACAAAACCAUGUAUACAAGGUGUUUGAUGAAUUGCUUAAAAGAAUUUAUAUGUACUUAAUUGGAGCGAGUAAGUACCUAUUAACUUAGAAUUGUUCUAGCAAAAGUUUAGAUGAUUUAUUAUGAUAUAUGUGCAUAAAUUUUAGAUUUUUGUGUUAUUCUUAUAUGCCAUUUUCAUGUUGAAAAUUUAUGAAGAUGCAAGAAUCUUUAGAAAUACUUUUGAAUGUUUAUUUCAUUCUUACGUCAUGCUUUACAUUUAAGAAUAACAGUAUGAAUAUGUAUAGGAUGUUCCAGAAAGGAUUUAGACUUGAAAAGUCACAAGAAGAAGUUUUAGAAAGAAAAGAUUUUUGGGAGUAUCCUCUAUUCUGAGAAGGGAUCAUCGUCCAGGCCGAGGGUCCUGAUCAAGGCGUUGACUUCCUGAAACUACUUGUGCCAAAGUAGGGAGCACACGAGCCGAGGGUCUCAUUGCUGAGAAUUUACCUAGCCAUCUAAGGUAUGACACAUGAGUGCUAAGAACCAUGAAGCGAGUGGCACCUCGUGGAUUGGGCCUAAUCGAUCAGGUUGAUAAUAACUUAGCAAUAUUUCAUUUGUUACUACGAAUAAAGUUUUGGAGUUGGUUUAUUUUAGAUAUUUAAAUUAAUUAAAAGUAUUUGAUUACAGUAGUGCCUUGUGGCAUAUAAAGUUUGAAGCUAUAAUAGAUUUGAUAAGCACAGAUGGUUCGCUCGGUCAUGUUUAGUUAUCGGGUGCCGGUCCCGGCUUGUUCAGAAAAUGGGUCGUGACAUCAUGCAUCAAUAUAUACCUUUAAUUCCCUCCAUGUCGUAUAAGACACAUAAAGAGCGGGCAGUCUCAACUAACAGAGGAAUCCUACUCCACCAUUUCAUGCAAUUCAUCACCCAGAAACACAGAAUUUAGAAGAGCUUAGAUAUUUUUCUCUUUUUUUUGCAUUCAUACACCUUACUUUUCAAAUUCCCUAGACAUCUUAUGGACUGUAUUAAUCUUUGAACAUAUCUAAUAAUAUAACUAACUUUAAAAUGUUCCUUUCUAGCGAAACAUGACAUAUUACUGCCCUAGAACAUUUAAUCAGAUUCAUGAGUAAGUCGCAAACAAGUGACCAUGUACCUGAGGGAUUGUAGACAAAGCACAUAUGCUAUCUAAUUACACAUCAGAGAGCAUUAUAAUUUGCCUUUUUAAAACAAAUGAGCAGAUACUAUCAUGUAUCACCUUUUGACAUUUCAAGUGAAUUAGGAAUUAACAUAGAUAUCUAUCAAAAACUAAACAAUUCAAUCUUACGCCUAGCACCAUCAUUUCUCAGAAAUCCAGUUUCAUCUAUAGUGACAUUUGGGGUAAGUCCGGAAAUGAAGCACAUAUUAAUUGGGAAAGUAAGUCCCAAUUUCCAAAUAAAAGAUGGUCAAUGACAUGAAAUAGAGAGUUUACUUAUUGGUAGCUGCAUCAAAAUUAGAAGAAAACUUAUAUACCUGCGACUCUUUAUUAAUUUCGUGCUAAUCAAUUAACUCCAACUCACACCAAUCACCACUGGUCCAUGAAGUGUCUCGUCUCCACCAAAGAAAGGGUGGAGUGGUUGUGAAUUAAAAGGUUUCAUCAAGCGGACAAUACCUGUUAAAUCAAGCUUUCCGUUCAUAAUGCAUCUAGAGUGAAGUAAAACUGAAAGCUUUAUAGGAUUAUGGACAUAUCAACAAAGUUGGAUCAUCAAAAUGCUUAUAUCUGAUGAAGCCGAAAGAAUAUAUUUGAGUAUUAUACCGUAAAUAGAUGUUUCUCUUAAUUUAACAUUACUAUUUAUUUACUGCAAUUAGAUGAUUACUUAUUCUUUUAGGCAUUCCAUCAAACAUCAUGGGUGCAUCAGUGUGCAAAAAGAAUCAGAUUGCUUACCACAAAAUCUGAUUUUCCAUUCAUCAAAUGUACAAAAUCAUGUACCUAGGCAUCAAUUUUCCCCAUAUGGAGAAAACACAGAUCAUGCACCCAAGUAUUUUAUACCCAAACAUGUGAAGAAGAGGUAAAAAUAGUGACAUGCAUGUAAAAUAUAACCCAAAUAUUUUUAAAAUAAGAGGAAAACUAAUUAACAGAUAUCUCCAUCGCCAAGGAAUUAGUGCAAUAUAUUUAAAAAACGAAAAAAGAAACACGAAAAAACUCAGCGCAAGUCACAGGUACGAAAGAUGUGAAAAGAAAUAGAAAAUAGAAAAUCUAAAAAUCUAACCAAAAGCGAAAAGUGAGAGAGACGGAGUAAUAAUGAAGAGACCCGAAACAGAGCCGAAUUAAAGCACACAAAAGGCGACUGUUGAGUACACACCAACUAUUUGCAAACGGUGUGGUGUAGCCUACCUGGUGAGAAAUUUACCAUCUUUUAGAUGAAGAGAUUGAAGAACCAAGAAAGAGUAGAUGACACCAAAAUAGAAAUGAUAAUGGAUGACAACUUGUCUCAUACAAAUAACAAAAAGGGCUAGCACGUGUUGUUAAAUGAGGAAAAAGUAAGGACUCUAGUUGGAGAGUAAAGUUCCAAAAUACCCAUGACGAACAUUCAUAAUUACCCAAUUACUCCUGUUCGUACACUCCAACUAAAAAAAAAAGUAAAAAAACUCACACAAAUUGAUAAACAGAGAAAUGAAAACUUGGAACCAAAUUGAAAAAUGUGUAAGAAAACGAAUUCAAGGUCUCACAAAUAACGAUGAUCAGUGAUCAUA